rnacentral:rRNA from 1 species
UACGUAGGUGGCAAGCGUUGUCCGGAUUUACUGGGCGUAAAGAGCGCGCAGGCGGUCGUUCAAGUCGCGUGUGAAAGCCCCCGGCUCAACUGGGGAGGGUCACGCGAUACUGAUCGACUCGAAGGCAGGAGAGGGAAGUGGAAUUCCCGGUGUAGUGGUGAAAUGCGUAGAGAUCCGGAGGAACCCCAGAGGCGAAGGCGGCGCCCUGGCUCGCACCUGACGCUCAGACACGACAGCAUGGGGAGCAAACAGG